rnacentral:rRNA from 1 species
AACGGAAAGGCCUGCUUUUGUGGGGUGCUCGUAGUGGCGAACGGGUGAGUAACACGUGAUACUGCCCUUGACUUUGGGAUAACUUCAGGAAACUGGGGCUAAUACCGGAUAGGAGCUCCUGCUGCAUGGUCGGGGGUUGGAAAGUUUCGCGCAGGUAUGGGGAUGGNCUCGCGGCUUAUCACGCUUGNCNGGUGGGGUAAUGGCUUACCAAAGGCUUUCGACGGGUAGCCGGCCUGAAAGCGGUGACCUGGCCACAUCUGGGACUAAGAUACGGCCAGACUCCUACGNGGAGGCAGCAGUGGGGANAUAUUGCAACAAUGGGCGGAACGCCUGAUGCAGCAACGCCGCAGUGCGGGAUGACGGCCUUCCGGGUCAGUAAACCCGCUAUACGCCUGUGCACGAAGCGUGAGUGACGGUCACGGCGUCAACGAAGCACCGGCUCAACUACAGUGCCAGCAGACGCGGUGANACGUUANGGGUCGCAACGUAGACCGGCACUACAAGGGGCCGUACAACCAAAGGGGGGGACUUCCCGAGACCACGAGGUGGGGCUCGGAAAAACCGGCGACGUUACGCNAACAAAGUGGGUAAAACCCAUAG